rnacentral:rRNA from 1 species
UACGUAGGGUGCGAGCGUUGUCCGGAAUUAUUGGGCGUAAAGGGCUCGUAGGCGGUUUGUCACGUCGGGAGUGAAAACUCAGGGCUCAACCCUGAGCGUGCUUCCGAUACGGGCAGACUAGAGGUAUGCAGGGGAGAACGGAAUUCCUGGUGUAGCGGUGGAAUGCGCAGAUAUCAGGAGGAACACCGGUGGCGAAGGCGGUUCUCUGGGCAUUACCUGACGCUGAGGAGCGAAAGCAUGGGGAGCGAACAGG